rnacentral:rRNA from 1 species
ACGCUCGACACCUACGGGGGCAGCAGUGGGGAAUAUUGCACAAUGGGGGAAACCCUGAUGCAGCAACGCCGCGUGAGUGAAGAAGUAUUUCGGUAUGUAAAGCUCUAUCAGCAGGGAAGAUAAUGACGGUACCUGACUAAGAAGCUCCGGCUAAAUACGUGCCAGCAGCCGCGGUAAUCUGAGCGGGCUGGCAAGGC